AUUGAACGCUGGCGGCAGGCCUAACACAUGCAAGUCGAACGAGUGGCGGACGGGUGAGUAAUGACUGGGAAACUGCCUGAUGGAGGGGGAUAACUACUGGAAACGGUAGCUAAUACCGCAUACCAUCGGAUGAGCCCAGAUGGGAUUAGCUAGUAGGUGGGGUAAAGGCUCACCUAGGCGACGAUCCCUACCUGGUCGGAGAGGAGGACCGGCCAUACUGGGACUGAGACACGGUCCAGACUCCUACGGUAGGCAGCAGGGGGUAAUAUUGCACAAUGGGCGCAAGCCUGAUGCAGCCAUGCCGCGUGGAUGAAGAAGGCCUUCGGGUUGUAAAGUACUUUCAGCGGGGAGGCGUUACCCGCAUAAGAAGCACCGGCUAACUCCGUGCCAGCAGCCGCGGUAAUUC
rnacentral:rRNA from 1 species